AACGAACGCUGGUGGCAUGCCUAACACAUGCAAGUCGAACGAGACCUUCGGGUCUAGUGGCGCACGGGUGCGUAACGCGUGGGAACCUGCCCUUAGGUUCGGAAUAACUCCCCGAAAGGGGUGCUAAUACCGGAUAAUGUCUUCGGACCAAAGAUUUAUCGCCUUUGGAUGGGCCCGCGUUGGAUUAGCUAGUUGGUAGGGUAAAAGCCUACCAAGGCGACGAUCCAUAGCUGGUCUGAGAGGAUGAUCAGCCACACUGGGACUGAGACCCGGCCCAGACUCCUACGGGAGGCGGCAGUGGGAAUAUUGGACAAUGGGCGAAAGCCUGAUCCAGCAAUGCCGCGUGAGUGAUGAAGGCCUUAGGGUUGUAAAGCUCUUUUACCCGGGAUGAUAAUGACAGUACCGGGAGAAUAAGCUCCGGCUAACUCCGUG
rnacentral:rRNA from 1 species